UCGACAUAGGAUUGAGUGGUCUAGCCAUCUUUGUCAGUCACAUGCGCAAGAUCGCUUGGUUAAAAGAGAUAGAUAGACCACCGAUCAGUGAUGUAGGAGGGAGCCACCGAUCGACUGUUUGCAUGCUGUUUCCGCGUUACGCUUUUUUGAACUUACAAAAUGAAUUGUCCAGCCGUUUCGAGCUACUGAGACAGGUGCUUUUCUACAAAUUAAACAAUUACUGAAGAAACAUAAAAAUCAUGAAAUGUCAGAAGUGGUAUACGAUUAUUUGCCCAUAAACCGUAAGCUAAACUCUAACUUACUAACAAAAUAUUGUCGAGGAAUUUAAUGUAUGUUCGUGGCAAUUAAAAGCUAAUUCAACAAAAAAUGUGUUCAACUGGAAAAUUAAGCACAAUGAAAGAUCUAUCCAACAUUGCAUAUGGUAUGAAAAGUGCUAUUUAGUAAUAAUUUAGAACAGUAGUAAAGGAGUUGAAAGAUA